rnacentral:lncRNA from 1 species
AGGAGUGCGGCAGCGCGCCAGAGACUGGCGGGCAGCUCCGCCCGCGGCCGGGAUGCACUAGGCAAAGCCAGCUGGGCUCCUGAGUUCGGUGGGUACUUGGAGAACUUACUACGUCUAGCUGGAGGAUUGUAAAUGCACCAAUCAGCAUGCUGUGUCUAGCUCAAGAACUCAAGCUCCAUGAGGAGAUGUUUCAUUGUCGAGAGCAGUCAUGAUGGCCUGCACUCCACACAAUGCAACAGAGUGAAAGAGCAGGUUCUGCUUCUUUGGUGUAGUCCUGAAGCUUCCUAAGAAACUUCACAUCAGGUGAUGGAUAGGAGCAACCCUGUAAAACCAGCCUUAGACUAUUUUUCAAACAGGCUGGUGAAUUACCAGAUCUCCGUCAAGUGCAGUAACCAGUUCAAGUUGGAAGUGUGUCUUUUGAAUGCAGAAAACAAAGUCGUGGACAACCAGGCUGGGACCCAGGGCCAGCUGAAGGAUGGUGAUUGCUCACACCAAAGCCUUGGACCCCUCCCAGCCUGUGACCUUUGUGACCAACUCCACCUACGCAGCAGACAAGGGGGCUCUGUAUGUGGAUGUGAUCCGUGUGAACAGCUACUACUCUUGGUAUCGCAACUACGGGCACCUGGAGUUGAUUCAGCUGCAGCUGGCCGCCCAGUUUGAGAAUUGGUGUAAGACAUCACAAUCCCAUUAUUCAGAGCGCGUAUGGAGUGGAAACGCUUGUAGGGCUUCACCAGGAUCCACCUCUGAUGUUCAGUGAAGAGGACCGGAAAAGUCUGCUAGAGCAGUACCAUCUGGGUCUGGAUCAAAAACGCAGAAAAUACGUGGUUGGAGAGCUCAUCUGGAAUUUUGCCGAUUUCAUGACUAACCAGUCCAAGGAUGAAGGAAAAACUGGACCUCAUUAUGGAUUUACUUUUGGGAUACACUCAUUAUUCCAGAGGAGGGUAAAAGGCUGAGAAGCUUAAGUAAUAAAUAAAAUAAUUUUCGACCAGAUGGAGCUGGCUUGAAAUCCUCUUGUUUAUGGCAGUACAUAUCGGUUAUGAUUCAAAAAAUAUAGCCCAUUUCCAAAAACCUGCAACAAAGAGAUACUUUCUCAG